UGGGGAAUCUUGCACAAUGGGGGAAACCCUGAUGCAGCGACGCCGCGUGAGUGAUGAAGGUUUUCGGAUCGUAAAGCUCUGUUGUUAGGGAAGAACAAGUACCGUUCGAAUAGGGCGGUACCUUGACGGUACCUAACCAGAAAGCCACGGCUAACUACGUGCCAGCAGCCGCGGUAAUACGUAGGUGGCAAGCGUUGUCCGGAAUUAUUGGGCGUAAAGGGCUCGCAGGCGGUUUCUUAAGUCUGAUGUGAAAGCCCCCGGCUCAACCGGGGAGGGUCAUUGGAAACUGGGGAACUUGAGUGCAGAAGAGGAGAGUGGAAUUCCACGUGUAGCGGUGAAAUGCGUAGAGAUGUGGAGGAACACCAGUGGCGAAGGCGACUCUCUGGUCUGUAACUGACGCUGAGGAGCGAAAGCGUGGGGAGCGAACA
rnacentral:rRNA from 1 species